CAGUAGCCGCGGUAAUACGUAGGGUGCAAGCGUUAAUCGGAAUUACUGGGCGUAAAGCGUGCGUAGGCGGCUUCUUAAGUCGGAUGUGAAAUCCCUGAGCUUAACUUAGGAAUUGCAUUCGAUACUGGGAAGCUAGAGUAUGGGAGAGGAUGGUAGAAUUCCAGGUGUAGCGGUGAAAUGCGUAGAUAUAGGAAGGAACACCAGUGGCGAAGGCGACCACCUGGACUGAUACUGACACUGAGGUGCGAAAGCGUGGGGAGCAAACAGGAUUAGAUACCCCAGUAGUCCCUGUCUCUUAUAC
rnacentral:rRNA from 1 species